CCUACGGGUGGCAGCAGUGAGGAAUAUUGGUCAAUGGCCGGAAGGCUGAACCAGCCAUGCCGCGUGAAGGUCAGUGCCCUAUGGGCGUUAAACUUCUUUUGUGCGGGAGCAAUAAUGGUCACGUGUGGCCAGACGAGAGUACCGUACGAAUAAGCAUCGGCUAACUCCGUGCCAGCAGCCGCGGUAAUACGGGGGAUGCAAGCGUUAUCCGGAUUUAUUGGGUUUAAAGGGUGCGUAGGCUGUGAGGUACGUCAGCGGUGAAAUGCCCCCGCUCAACGGGGUGAAGUGCCAUUGAUACUGCCUGGCUGGAAGGCGGAUGCCGUGGGAGGAAUGUGUGGUGUAGCGGUGAAAUGCAUAGAGAUCACACAGAACACCGAUUGCGAAGGCAUCUCACGAAUCCGCGAUUGACGCUGAUGCACGAAAGCGUGGGUAUCAAACAGGAUUAGAUACCCCUGUAGUC
rnacentral:rRNA from 1 species